rnacentral:rRNA from 1 species
AUUGAACGCUGGCGGAAUGCUUUACACAUGCAAGUCGAACGGCAGCACGGGGCAACCUGGUGGCGAGUGGCGAACGGGUGAGUAAUACAUCGGAACGUGCCCAAUCGUGGGGGAUAACGUAGCGAAAGUUACGCUAAUACCGCAUACGAUCUACGGAUGAAAGCGGGGGAUCGCAAGACCUCGCGCGAAUGGAGCGGCCGAUGUCAGAUUAGGUAGUUGGUGGGGUAAAGGCUCACCAAGCCAACGAUCUGUAGCUGGUCUGAGAGGACGACCAGCCACACUGGGACGGAGACACGGCCCAGACUCCUACGGGAGGCAGCAGUGGGGAAUUUUGGACAAUGGGCGCAAGCCUGAUCCAGCCAUUCCGCGUGCAGGAUGAAGGCCUUCGGGUUGUAAACUGCUUUUGUACGGAACGAAACGGCUCUCUCUAAUACAGGGGGCUAAUGACGGUACCGUAAGAAUAAGCACCGGCUGACUACGUGCCAGCAGCCGCCGCCGUAA